GCUCCUGUAGCUCAGUUCUGGUUAGAGCGCUACAUUGGUAAUGUAGAGGUCCUGAGUUCGAAUCUCAGCAGGGGCU
rnacentral:tRNA from 1 species